rnacentral:rRNA from 1 species
UACAGAGGGUGCGAGCGUUGUUCGGAAUUAUUGGGCGUAAAGGGCGCGUAGGCGGUACGGUAAGUCACCUGUGAAACCUCUGGGCUUAACUCAGAGCCUGCAGGCGAAACUGCCGUGCUGGAGGGUGGGAGAGGUGCGUGGAAUUCCCGGUGUAGCGGUGAAAUGCGCAGAUAUCGGGAAGAACACCGGUGGCGAAGGCGGCGCUCUGGACCGAGACUGACGCUGAGGCGCGAAAGCGUGGGGAGCAAACAGG